ACCUGCAUCGAAAGUGAUUAGGGUUUCCUUUGUGGCCCAGUCAUUGAUACUGCAGGAAGAACAAAAUGUUAAAGCUUUUCCCGUGUUUGCUGAUUGUGACCUGGUAUCAGCCAAACCCUGUGACUUUUGCACA
rnacentral:snoRNA from 1 species